GUUACUCUCUCUGGGGUUAGGGUGAGAAGGGGGCUUGACCUUAAGGAGGAUGGAGAAGGAGCCUGCUAGAAGCAAUCUAGGAAGAUGUCCAGGGAAGGAGCAGUAGCAAAGGUGGGACAGUGCAGACCUUAGCCGCUGGUUUUAGGGUUCUGGGCUGAACCCUGGAGUAGAGGGUGAGCCUGGGUUCCCCUACCACCCAUUGGGGGAAGUAGCACCAUUGAGGGGUAGUGGAUUGGAAAACUGCCUGGGAUGCUAAUGAGACUUUGGUCCACAAACCCAGAAGAGGAAAACUACAGUGACCUGGCCAGAGGGCCAAGCCAUGAAGAGAGAGCUGUCAAGUCCGGAGAGAGAGCACCCACAGGAAGGGAUGUCAGACUGGCAGAGCUAAUCCCCAGCUGUGGCCACGAGGAGGCGCUCCAGUGCACAACGUGUAGGACAAGGAGAUGGAGAGUGGAAGCCAGUGGCGUGGCUCAAGGGAGGGGAAGGAGAUAAUCCGUCUGACAGUGUUCUGGAUGGACAGGAGUGGAGGCAUUCACCAGGGUGAUCGAUCCCCGGGCAGAGCACUAGAGCUGAGAUGUACUUUGCGACUUUCCACCUUUCUUUCUUCUGAAACAGUCAUUGGAUUCUCAGAGCUAUACAGGUCACCAGUGGACACGCAGGUCACAAUCUACAGUGCAAAGGGACAGAACAGAGAGAAAAGGAAAUGUGAGGUUGUGUUUUGUAUUUACCUGCACUAAAGGACAAUUCCUGGGGCUGGGUGCUGUCAUGCUGAACUAUUUAUAUUCCAGCACACAAGUGUUGGCAAUAAACUGGCACCAUUGUA